CUUUCGUUCACCUGUUAAUCUAAUUGACAACCCAACCGUUUCAUUUUUCCUUCCUUGAUAGUAACAGCCCAUUAAUUUGUACCAAACCCUUUCUUCCUCCUUCUUGAUAACUACAAUUUCAAACACUAAUGUCUUUUCUUUCUCUCCAUGGAUAAAAUGAAAAUUCCUCAUUUCUUCUGGAAAUCCAUAUGUGAUAUGACUUGGAAUUCAACUCAAGUUGGAAAUUUAAGGGGGAAAGGGCUGGGAAACGAUGUUGGACAGUGUUAUCAAUACAUGUCGUCACCAAAAAUUCAAGCUUCGGUCAUCUGUCUUCACUUUCUCUUGCACGUUCAAUCAUGAAUUAGAAGAAGCAUUUUUUUUUAAAGUUUUUUGUGGCAAAAUAUCAAAUACUAUUAUCAUUUGUUGGUCAUAUAUUUAAUUCCUUUUUUUCUAAACUGUUGCUUAUAUGCCUUUUUGGAGACUGACAUAUGUAUCCUCCUUUCAUCGUGAUGUUUUAGACUUCAAUACUACACAAGAGGGGGUGAUUUGUGUGGUA